GAACGGGUGAGUAACACGUGGGCAACCUGCCCAAAAGAGGGGGAUAACACUUGGAAACAGGUGCUAAUACCGCAUAACCAUAGUUACCGCAUGGUAACUAUGUAAAAGGUGGCUAUGCUACCGCUUUUGGAUGGGCCCGCGGCGCAUUAGCUAGUUGGUGGGGUAAAGGCUUACCAAGGCAAUGAUGCGUAGCCGAACUGAGAGGUUGAUCGGCCACAUUGGGACUGAGACACGGCCCAAACUCCUACGGGAGGCAGCAGUAGGGAAUCUUCCACAAUGGGCGAAAGCCUGAUGGAGCAACGCCGCGUGGGUGAAGAAGGUCUUCGGAUCGUAAAACCCUGUUGUUAGAGAAGAAAGUGCGUGAGAGUAACUGUUCACGUUUCGACGGUAUCUAACCAGAAAGCCACGGCUAACUACGUGCCAGCAGCCGCGGUAAUACGUAGGUGGCAAGCGUUAUCCGGAUUUAUUGGGCGUAAAGGGAACGCAGGCGGUCUUUUAAGUCUGAUGUGAAAGCCUUCGGCUUAACCGGAGUAGUGCAUUGGAAACUGGGAGACUUGAGUGCAGAAGAGGAGAGUGGAACUCCAUGUGUAGCGGUGAAAUGCGCAGAUAUAUGGAAGAACACCAGUGGCGAAAGCGGCUCUCUGGUCUGUAACUGACGCUGAGGUUCGAAAGCGUGGGUAGCAAACAGGAUUAGAUACCCUGGUAGUCCACGCCGUAAACGAUGAAUGCUAAGUGUUGGAGGGUUUCCGCCCUUCAGUGCUGCAGCUAACG
rnacentral:rRNA from 1 species